rnacentral:rRNA from 1 species
GUAAGGAAUAUUGGUCAAUGGGCGCAAGCCUGAACCAGCAACGCCGCGUGGAGGAAGAAGGGUUUCGGCUCGUAAACUCCUUUUAGGUGGGAAGAGCAAGGACGGUACCACCUGAAUAAGUCUCGGCUAACUACGUGCCAGCAGCCGCGGUAAAACGUAGGAGACGAGCGUUAUCCGGAUUUACUGGGCGUAAAGCGCGUGCAGGCGGUUAGAUAAGUCACUUGUGAAAGCGCCCGGCUCAACUGGGCGAGGCCGUGUGAGACUGUCUAACUUGAGAGAGGUAGAGGCGAAUGGAAUUCCGGGUGGAGUGGUGAAAUGCGUAGAGAUCCGGAGGAACACCAGUGGCGAAGGCGAUUCGCUGGGCCUACUCUGACGCUCAGACGCGAUAGCAUGGGGAGCGAACGGGAUUAGAAACCCCAGUAGUCC